rnacentral:lncRNA from 1 species
CUGGAGAUGACAAGGAAACCACUGGAGGUGACAUGGACCUCCUGGAGGUGACAAGGUCCUCCUGGAGGUGACAAGGUCCUCCUGGAGUUGACAAGGAACCCAUUGGAAGUGACAUGGACCUCCUGGAGGUGACAAGGUCCUCCUGGAGGUGACAUGGACCUCCUGGAGGUGACAGGGACCUCCUGGAGGUGACAAAGAACCC